rnacentral:rRNA from 1 species
CCCGCUGAACUUAAGCAUAUCAAUAAGCGGAGGAAAAGAAACUAACAAGGAUUCCCCUAGUAACUGCGAGUGAAGCGGGAAAAGCUCAAAUUUAAAAUCUGGCGGUCUUGCGGCCGGCCGAGUUGUAAUCUGGAGAAGCGUUUAUCCGCGUCGGACCGUGUACAAGUCUUCUGGAAGGGAGCGUCGUAGAGGGUGAGAAUCCCGUCUUUGACACGGACUACCAGGGCUUAUGUGAUACGCUCUCAAAGAGUCGAGUUGUUUGGGAAUGCAGCUCUAAAUGGGUGGUAAAUUCCAUCUAAAGCUAAAUAUUGGCGAGAGACCGAUAGCGAACAAGUACCGUGAGGGAAAGAUGAAAAGAACUUUGGAAAGAGAGUUAAAAAGUACGUGAAAUUGUUGAAAGGGAAACGCUUGAAGUCAGUCGCAUUGGCCAGGGAUCAACCUUGCUUUUGCUUGGUGUAUUUUCUGGUUAAUGGGUCAGCAUCAAUUUUGAUCGGUGGAAAAAGAUCAAGGGAAUGUGGCAUCUUCGGAUGUGUCAUAGCCCUUGCUUGUAUACAUCGAUUGGGAUUGAGGAGCUCAUCACGCCGCAAGGCCGGGUUUGUAACCACGUACGUGCUUAGGAUGCUGGCAUAAUGGCUUUAAUCGACCCGUCUUGAAACACGG